AGCACUUGUAUGGGUUUUUGUUCAGCUGGUGGACAAAGUCAGGUUAGACAGGUGCGAAAAUAAAUCUUCUUUUACAACCCAGAAUUCAUUGCUCAGAAUGAGUUUUGACACAUACAAGAAGGAAUAUA